UACGAAGGGUGCAAGCGUUACUCGGAAUUACUGGGCGUAAAGCGUGCGUAGGCGGUUUGUUAAGUCUGCCGUGAAAGCCCCGGGCUCAACCUGGGAAUUGCGGUGGAUACUGGCAGGCUAGAGUGCGGUAGAGGGUGGUGGAAUUCCCGGUGUAGCAGUGAAAUGCGUAGAGAUCGGGAGGAACAUCUAUGGCGAAGGCAGCCACCUGGACCAGCACUGACGCUGAGGCACGAAAGCGUGGGGAGCAAAC
rnacentral:rRNA from 1 species